CAAUAAUAACAACAACGAUAAACAACAAGGGCAACAAAAGGGGGAAAAUGGCCUCCAGGAGCAGUGGAUUCAUAGUACAGGCACUGAGCUCCAGCAAUAACUCUGGAGGAAAAAAAAGAGAAAAAGGCGUCUAACGGGUGAAGGUAAUGCUUGCUGGUUUUGCCUGUGAGUGCUUUGUCUUUAGCGGCUGUGCUUGUAUGGGUCCCACUGUUAAGGUCGAGACUUCUCGGCAUUUCAGGAGUUCCAAAUCCAGCUUUGGAGUGGACUUAUGUUCGAUGUUUACAAUGGCAAAAUUGAAAUAUCAAACACUUUUGAUAAGCACCUCUCUAAAAACAGUAUCCUUGGUCUCUAAAGAGCAGACAGAGAACUGAGUAUUAACUUGUGGUUACCGCUCUGGUAGGUUUAGCCUCUAGCUAAACACUCUUCAUGGAUCAGUAGUUGCUUCUAAUCAAAUGCAAUGAGUGUGAAUUCACUGUUUUGUUUAAAAAUCUAGUAAUUGGAGUCUGUGCCGCCCCUUCUAAGGCAGGACUGUUCGAGACCACAGAGCUGGUCUGUGGCUCUUGUAUAACAUGUCGUUUGAUUGGAUUCCUUGAUGUUGCUGAAUAAUGUGGGAAACAUUUAGAGAAGUUGAGAAACUUCGUAAGUUGGCUUCUCAGCCAGUAUUUGCUCCCCCCCCACCCGCCAAAGUUGUUAUACUGAAUCCUCCAUUUUUUAUUGACACGUUUAUUUUCCUUUGUUUUCCUUUCCUGUAGUUUUUUUAAAGGUCUUACCUUGCAUGCUCUUUUUAAAAUAAUUUCAUCUGAGAGUCAGGCGGUACCGCAGCGGGUUAAGCGCAUGUGGGACAAAGUGCAAGGACCCGCAUAAGGAUCCCGGUUCGAGCCCCCAGCUCCCCACCUUCCGGGGAGUCGCUUCACAGGUGGUGAAGCAGGUCUGCAGGUGUCUGUCUUUCUCUCCCCCUUUCUGUCUUCCCCCCUUUCUCCAUUUCUCUCUGUCCUAUCCAACAACAACGAUGACAUCAAUAACAACAGUAACUACAACAACAAUGCAAAACAACAAGGGCAACAAAAGGGAAAAUAAGUAAAUAUUUUAAAAAUUAUUUAAAAAAAUAAUAAUCUCAUCCUAGCUGGUUUUCACUUUAUGGAAAAGCUGGCAUAUCAUGUGGAUCUGUCUCAGGGGGUCCGGGGCCGGGCCUGUCCCUGGUGACAGCUCAGGGCCAUUGGGUGAUAGCGCGUGUGGACCCGCCCACCUUCCCAGAAGCUUCUCCUGUCAGUGUAGUCGGGUCACCAGCCACCCGUGCUUUCUCCACACACAGAAGGAAAGCCUGACCGGGGGCCCAGCGCUGCCCGCCCCGACGCCCCUUCCCGCGACCUGUGCUCACGGAUUCGUAGCUGUAUCACACACUUAUGCUCCCACCAGAGAGACAGCUUUCUCUUUUCAUUUUUUUUUCUUUUUUUUUUUUAAAUUUAUUUUUUUUAUGGGUAGUUUUUUUUUUUUUUCUUCAUGGGUAGUUUUCACAGCGUAAUCUAGUUGAUGUUAUUUAAGGAGUUAGUAACAUCUUGGGGAGUAGGGUGGGGUGGGGGAGUAACUAAAUUAUUCCUUGACAGAAUUAUUGGAACUCUAGAAUCUGAUAUUUUUGUCCCUAUUUGUUAAAUUUAUUAUUUCUUCCUUUUUGUUGCCCUUGUUGUUUUAUUGUAGUUAUGACUGAUGUCGUUGUUGUUGGAAGCUUUCUCUUUUCAUUUUGACUGAAGUGGGAACAUGCUCCUGUGCUGCCUGUUGCUACUGACUCGUUUUGCUCUCUGGUGAGAGGUGCCCACACGUGCCGGCAGUGCCCUGGGUCCGUCCACCGCUCCUCCUGUGCCAGAAUCCUGGUGCUGACAGACAUUUCCAGCAUGCCUGGUCCUGCGCGAUGGCCCUCACCCCUCGGGCACUCAGGGGGUCCUGCGGUCGACGAGGGUGACGUUCUAAACAUACUGGAACCCCUCACCCCCCCAGCCCACACUUUUGUCCGGUCUCAGGGCUGCUCUUGAAGUCCUCGUUUGCCAGCCUGAGGAGUGAAAGCAGCAUUUAGGGGCAGAGUCGUUUUGCAUUUCAACCCACCUGUGCCUCUCCUGAUUUUAGGAACUUGGUCUAUUUUAAGGAAAUCAACUCUUCCUCAUCCGUCCUACACAUACCUUCCUGUUUGCUCUGUAAGUUUUGUGAUAAGAAUUUUAAAUAUGCUCAGCGAUCAAAUGCUUCAUGACUCUGGGUCUCCUGAACUUCUGGAAGACGAACGGCUCACAAUGACUUUCUGUUAGGUCCUAUAUCUUGUCCCACUUCCGUUCCGGCUCUAUUUUUAUUUGGCUAUUGAAUCUGUCCGCACUUUAUUUGGGUGUAAUAAGUGACGUGGGGACCAUUAGCAUCUUGUCCCAAUACCACUUACCCUGAUCGAUAUCCUUCCUCACCUGUGGAAGGUGAGGCCGUCUCCGUGCUCUGUGCUUCACUGCAUCAUGAUAAGGAGAACCCUUCCCAUUCUCUGCUUUUCCAGAACUUUCCUGGCCACAUCCCUGUCCUCGGUGCCGUCUUGUGGUGGAAGGACGAGGACCACCUUUCCUGACCGUGUCUAACUUGACUGCACUGUGGGAAAGCUGUGCUCACCUCUGGGCCCCACACGGCCCGCUGGUGGCUGGCUGGCUUCCAGGCUGUGACCAAGUGAUGCUUUGACUCAGGCUGCCAGGCGUCCCUCUUAAGGACGGCCUGGCCUCAUCCUUCGUGUGUUUUUGUUAUUUAUUUAUUUAUGGUAUUACCUUUGCUGAGUGAGCUGGUCUUUUUUUUAUUUUAUUUCUUUAUUGGGGGAUUAAUGGUUUACAGUUGACAGGAAAACACAAAGGUAGGUUUGUACAUGUGUAACAUUCCCACAUAACAGUACAACCCCCACGAGGUCCUCCUCUGCCAUCCUGUUCCAGGACCUGAACUCUCCCCACCACCCCAGAGUCUUUUACUUUGGUGCAGUACACCAACUCCAGUCCAAGUUCUGUGUUUUUGUUUAAAUUUGCACCUCUGAUCCUGUCACUGAACGUCCGAUUCUGGUUGGCUGAGCUGCGGAUAUGUUCUGUACUUCCCUCCCAGACUCAGCCCUUGAAGGGAGGGAGGCCCCGGCAGCUGUCACUGCAAACACACCUUUGCCUUUUGAAGGUCUGUGUGGUCUCUUGCCGCUGGUUUUAAGUCCCGCCAUCAAAUCUGUUUAUUUAUUAUUAUUAAUUAUGGGCUUGGACUUUGGGCCAUGUUUCCGAUUCCUUGGUGGGUCUAUUUGUGACAUGUAACUUUACAGUCCUUCUAGAAGUUGUUUCAGUGGAUAUUGUGAGGUAAGAAUCUAAUAUUGUUCGUUUGAAAUGACUGACCAAUUUUCCCGGCAUCACUGCUCAAUCUCUACCCUCGAUGGGUUUAAAAUGACCCCGUUAACAGUGGACUAAAGACUGUCAUGUAUUUGAGCCUCCUCAGGAAUGUUCUAGUCUCUUGCACUGAUCUUUCCACUUGUCGUACCAAACGUUCUCACCAUUUUUUUUUUGUUCUCACCAUUUUAUAUCACUUUAUAGUGGUACAGGCUAGUGCAGACCCCGUUCUUUUCAGUAUCACCUUACUGAGGGAAUAUUGAUUUGUAGGGCUGUUAUUGUUGUUUCAACAUAAUUCUCUCUCUUUUCUGAGUGUUCAGAUUCCAUUGUGAUUUAGAUUUGCAGUGCCGUUGUACUACCUGUAUAAAUGUAUAUUUUUCUUUUUUGGUGUUCAGAUUUGCAGUGAAGUUGCAUUACACGCAGGAAGAUAUGAUACCGAGACUCCCCAUUUGGGAACUGGCCGCUGUGUCCAUUCAGAACAGCACAAGUUUUCAUGUCCUUCGGGAAUUUUAGUCUGCUCCUGUACAAGUGGAGUGCACUUACGACGUCCGGUCCUCAAGGUGUUAUAUUCUGUGUCAUGACUAGGUCUGUUUUUUUGUUUUGUUUUGUUUUAACCAGAGCACUGUUCAGCUCUGGUUUAUGGUGGUGCGGGGGAUUGAACCUGGGACUUUGGAACCUCAGGCAUGAGAGUCAGUUUGCAUAACCAUUAUGCUAUCUACCCUCCACUCUCUUUUAUUUAUUUAUUUUUUAAUUUUAUUUAUUUAUUCCCUCUUGUUGCCCUCGUUGUUUUAUUGUUGUUGUAGUUAUUAUUGUUGUUGUUAUUGAUGUUGUCAUUGUUGGAUAGGACAGAGAGAAAUGGAGAGAGGAGGAGAGGACAGAGAGGGGGAGAGAAAGAUAGACACCUGCAGACCUGUUUCACUGCCUGUGAAGAGACUCCCCUGCAGGUAGGGAGCCAGGGGCUCGAACCAGGAUCCUUAAUGCUGACCCUUGCACUUUGCACCACCUGUGCUUAACCCACUGUGCCCGACUCCCUGCACUAGGUCUGUUUUUCUAAGUCUUCUGAGUGUGGUAGUGUGUGGUAAGACCCACUAAUAAACAUAUAAAGGCUUCAUUUGUUUGUUUGUUUGUUUGUUUUACCAGAGAACUAAAAAAAAUAUUUUAUUUAUUUUUGAGAGAGAUGCAGAGAGAGAAAGAAACACCAGAGCACUGAUCAGCUCUGGCUUAUGGUGGUGCGGGGAAUUGAACCUGGGACUUUGGAGCCUCAGGCUUGAGAGUGUCUUUCCAUAACCUUUACGUUGUCUGCCCGCCCUAGAGGCUUCACUUGGUAACUAACAUGCGCCCUUUAUUUUCAGGACUGACCAGAAGGCCAUAUGGCAUGUUGGCUGACAGUUCAGAUUCUAAAGUCAGAUGACCCUGCUCUCCAGCUGGACCUUGCCUCUCAUGGUAUCUAUCUGACCGCCUCUCUGCCUCAGUUUUCCGAUUUGUCAGAAGGGGUACCAUACUGUUUACUAAGAGACAGGAGGGGAGUUGAUGAGAUGAGGCCGUUCUCUCCGACACGCUCACUCGGAGCUCGCAGUAGCCAUGAGGCUGGUCCCGUCUCCGGGCCUGUCCCCUCCUGUCCCCUUGGCGCCGUCCCUGACAGCUGGGGUGUUAGGCUCAGGCUCCUUCUGCACCUGCAGAGAACUGGCCAGCCAGGGGAGGGGACGUGGGUCGGGCUGGGCCUGGGCAGCACAGACACCUCAGCAGAAGGGGUGCCGGCCUGUUGGUGGGCAAGCUGGGGUGACAGGCCUGUCUACAUGUUGAGUCCUCACACUUGGGUAUUAAAUAAUAUUAAAAAUAAUGGGUAUUUUUGAAUUGCUGGUUUAACAUUUAUUCUGAUAAAGUUUCCUUUUAAAAUAAGUUUAUUUUUCCUUUCUAAAAUGGGAUGAUCUAGUGGUCCAGGAGGUGGCGCAGUGGAUAAAAGCACUGGAUUCUCAACCAUGAGGUCCCGAGUUCACUCCCUGGCUGCACGUGUACCAGAGUGAUGGCUGGUUCUUUCUCUCCUCCCAUCUUUCUCAUGAGGAGCGGGAGUUCUUGUCCUGUGUCCUCUGUGCACCAUAGAGGUUGAACCUGUUAAAACAGGUGUUCCUGCGUCUCCUGAGAUGACUGUCCCGAUUCCUCUCCUUUCAGCUUCUGAUGAGGAACUAUGUCAAGAGAAGGUUGGUUGGUUUGUUUUUUAGUGGAGAAAACUUUUCUCAGUCAUAUUACUGGAGGGUUCAUGGUUCACUGCCCAGUUGGUGACAGCUGGGUACAAGUGUCUGCAGGACAUUUCCUGCACCAGAGUCCCACAUCCCUCUACCUCCCCCUCCCUCCUCAGUCUUGUUUUUCGUGCAAUACAACACCAUCAGAAGAGUAGCAAUGACUGUUUUCCCUUUUUUUAAAUUUCUUUAUUGGGGAAUUAAUUGUUUACAGUUGACAGUGAAAUACAGUAGUUUGUAGUAGUUUGACAGUAAAAUACAGUAGCAAAAUACAGUAGUUUGUACAUGCAUAACAUUUCCACGUAACAAUACAGUCCCCACUAGGUCCUCCUCUGCCAUCAUGCGCUUUUCCCAAAGAACUUUUAAUGUUGACUUCAUUGAGGUAACGUCAAUGCACGGAGCUGUACGUUUCAGGGGUCCAGUUUUACCCUCUUGGUCAUGUGUGUUACCACCGCACACCCCCACCCUUCUGGCCCCUUCCCCACCACCUUGGUGUCCUCUGCUUUGUGGCUAGUAUCUAAGGGGAUGUUCCCACAAACCAGAGAGGUCGCCUGGUCUUUGUCCCUCUCCUGACCUGUUGCCCUCAGCUGCUCCAGCUCAGAGCAGAGGGUGAGGUCUCAUCUCUCCUGAGUCUUCCACUGUGUAUUGACCACCACAGCUUCUGAGCCCGCUCUUCCCUCCCCGGGCAGAUCCUGACGGUUUAACCAGUGCUUCAGUGGGCAGGCGUGCAGCUAGCUUCUCAGAGAAGUGGUUUUGAAUCUAGACCAGGCUGGACUUCAAACUCAGGGUCUCUCUGUCAGACGCUGACCUGACACAGUUUCUUUUAUUAUUUUAUGAUACAGAGAGAGGGAGGGACAGAGAGAGAAGAGAAGAAGCGAGAGAGAGAGGCAGGCAGAGGAGGAAGCAAACCACCGCUCAGUCGCUCAGUUGUCCAUGGAGCUCCACUCUGGUUUGUCUUGGUUGCUGGGGUUCAAGUCCAGGGCCUCCUCAGGCAUGUAGGCAGUGGCUGUACUGCUGAGCCACCUGCCUGGCCCUGGCUUCCUGUUGAAGCUCAGUGACACACGUUAUGAUGACACUGAAAUGUUUACAGACCUGGGUGCUUCACCCACUGCAAGCUCCUGGGUUACAAAGCUGCUGCUUCUUUGAAAAUGUUCGGUUUCUUCCUGAAGUACUGGACUCAUCAAUAUUUCCCUUUCUCUUUCUUUUUCUCUUUCUUUUAUACUUAUAUUUUUAUUUAUUUUUUUUUCUUUUUCUCUUUCUUAAUAUUUAUUGAUGAUACAGACAAGGAGCCACUCUGGUUGAGCCCUCUGGGCUUCCCCAUCCCACCUGUCACUAACUGCUGAAUGAAGUCUCUCCUUUCCAGAGUGUGUUCUGACUCCCCCAUGUCUGAGGCCUUUCAGGCAGAGCUUUGCUCCGUUAGGUCGGGACUAGGUGGCCGAUCUGCUGAAAGAAGUAAGUGUCCUCCUCCUCCUGCGGUGUGUCGGGGUCCCAGCUAAGGGGAGGAUGGGGAGCAGGAGGCUCAGCGAGUGUCCUCUCCCUGGAGAUGCUGAGGCAGAGCCUGCAGGUCUGGCUUCCCAGAACUUGGAGGGGGUGUCCAUGUGUGAAGUGGGGCCAGCUUAAUCUGGACUUGGACCCAGGUUCCGCCCCUCAAGCCUCAGUUUCUUGCCUGGCCUUGCUAGGAAGGGCUUCUGAGCCUCCCAGCCUGCAGGAAGGGACCCAGACCCCCCUCCACAGGACCAGCUGUGGCCCAGGGGUGGCACCGCCCGUGCUGGGAGCAACAGUGCCCAGAGGGCCUUGGGUCCAGGGUGGGCCUCCUGCACCUUCUGCUGCUGGGGCCCUGUGAAGGAGCCACGUGGCGCCUACAGCCCUCUCCCCGCGGGGCCAGCUGAGCUGAGGGCCCAGGGCUCCGGCUUCUCACCUCAUGCCAAGUUCACAGCCGUGGCUGGGGAGCAUCAAAGCUGACAUGACCCAGAGGCGGGAAGAUGCAGACCAGGCAGGUGAGGCCCACGCAGCCGGGGACAGCAGACCUAAGGACCGUUAGCGCCUGGACUAGGCCCAAAUGUGGGAAAUUCCUCCCAGUUCUCAGACUCUCUGUUCCAGUGGGAAAAUUCUCCAAUUCUUGCCUUUAAUUCUCCAUGUCACAUGUACAGAGCUGAUUCAAACCACGAAGAAAAUAUAAAGGAAAAAUCCCCCCGCCUUGCUUCCACCCCGGUACUUUGACCCAAAGCAGCCUCUCGAAUGUCUUUCUGCAAAUUUCUAUUCACACAAAAGUGUGUGUCUGCUGGUGGUGCUGGAACAGGCAGGACCUUCCCUGCCACUGGUGGCCCCACUGCUGGGCUCCGCUCAGUGACAACCCCAGGAUGCCCCAGGGCAGGGGGACGCCAUCCCCUCGCCGUCCAGGGAAGAGCACUGGCCGUCGAGGGAGGAGUGCUGCCGCCGCAGGUGUUUCUUUUCCUGGAGGAGCUCAUGGCUGCCUCCAGGUUUUGCUUUUCACCUCUGAAUCUGUGACAAAGUGAGCCGGAAAAAGCAAAA